UGCUUGUCAUAUACUUGUUUAUCAAUUGUUGGGUUCUUAUCUAUGCUCAAAGCUUUUAUUGUUUAACUCAUUCACUAAAAGAUGUUUGUCUUUAUCGAUAUGGGGACGUACGGUAAUGUCAUGAACUGGUGAGAAAUUCCUCGAUUAUGCCAAUAUCACCUAGGGAUAGGGGUAGGACGGUCAAUUGUAGUUGUUUCCAAUCGCAUUGCAUUAUUGGUUACUAGGGGAGGCUAGGGAUAGCAAGCCGGUAAUUAAUAAUAGGCUAUUUUCACCAAGGGAUUGGGUUAAGGGUAAAUAAGAAAGUUUGCAUGGCAAUUAGAUAAAUAAGUGAAGUAAAAAAGAAGAGUAGAUAUAUGAGAGCAGAUAAGAUGAAAUUGUAAACCCCAACAACAUCAUUCAUCCAUAGUUUCUCAAAACCAAUUGAAUCAACUGCAUUGCAUGUUUAUUUUUGUUCUUUGCAUACAACCACCAAAUUUUUUCUUCUCUCAAGUCUUACAAGA
rnacentral:lncRNA from 1 species